rnacentral:rRNA from 1 species
GAUGAACGCUGGCGGCGUGCCUAAUACAUGCAAGUCGAGCGAACAGACGCGGAGCUUGCUCCUUUGACGUUAGCGGCGGACGGGUGAGUAACACGUGGAUAACCUACCUAUAAGACUGGGAUAACUUCGGGAAACCGGAGCUAAUACCGGAUAACAUGUUGAACCGCAUGGUUCAACAGUGAAAGACGGUCUUGCUGUCACUUAUAGAUGGAUCCGCGCCGCAUUAGCUAGUUGGUAAGGUAACGGCUUACCAAGGCAACGAUGCGUAGCCGACCUGAGAGGGUGAUCGGCCACACUGGAACUGAGACACGGUCCAGACUCCUACGGGAGGCAGCAGUAGGGAAUCUUCCGCAAUGGGCGAAAGCCUGACGGAGCAACGCCGCGUGAGUGAAGAAGGUCUUCGGAUCGUAAAACUCUGUUAUUAGGGAAGAACAAAUGUGUAAGUAACUAUGCACGUCUUGACGGUACCUAAUCAGAAAGCCACGGCUAACUACGUG